AUGCUGCAGGCUCUCACCCUCCUUCUAGCUUUCCUGGCUCCUGCCACUCAAGUAUCUUCCAACUUGGAAGGGACACAGAUGUCAGUCACCAAACAGGCUGGGUCCUCUGUUGUAAUCACCUGUGAUUUUAAACAAAGCAUCACCUAUGUCCACUGGUACCGAUACGUGGAGGGGAUGGCCCCACAACGACUUUUGUACUACCAUUACCACAGCGCCAAAUUUGUGAUGGAACCAGGAAUCAGCUCACAGAUAUAUCGUACCUAUGAAGGUGCAAGGAAGAACCGUAAAAUUGAAAUCCGAAAUCUGGAAGAAAGGGAUUCUGGUGUGUAUUACUGUGCUGUCUGGGAGAACUGGAUCAAGAAAUUUGGAAAAGGGACUAAGCUCGUAGUAACUCCCUCUGAUAAAGGCCUUCCUGCAGACAUUUCCCCCAAGCCCAUUAUGUUUCUUCCUUCAAUUGCUGAAAUCAACCUCCAUAAGACUGGGACAUAUCUUUGUCUUCUUGAGAAAUUCUUCCCUGAUGUUAUCAAUGUAUAUUGGAAAGAAAAGGAUGGCCAUACAAUUCUGGAAUCCCAGCAAGGAAAUACCAUGAAGACUAAUGACACAUACAUGAAAUUCAGCUGGCUGACAGUGACUGAAAAGUCAAUGGAUAAAGAACACAAAUGCAUUGUCCAACACGAGAAAAAUAAAGGCGGGGUUGACCAAGAGAUUGCUUUUCCUUCAGUGAUCAAAGAGGUCAUGGCUAUUAAUUCGACAGAAGCUUGUCUGAAAGAUGAGAGCAAUGCCCUGCAGCUGCAGCUCAGCAACACUUUGGCCUGUUACGCCUACCUCCUCCUCCUCAUCAUGAGCGUGGGCUACUCUGCCAGCAUCGCCUUCUGCCUGUUUAGGAGAACAGCAGUCUGUGGCAACGGAAAGAGUUCAUAA